GCCUGGAUAAGCUCAGUUAGUAGCACAUCAGGCGUUUAACCUGAGGGUCCAGGGUUCACGUCCCUGUUCAGCUG